rnacentral:rRNA from 1 species
UACAGGGGGGUGCGAGCGUUGUCCGGAAUCACUGGGCGUAAAGGGCGCGUAGGCGGCUUGAUAAGCGUGCGGUGAAAGCCCCGGGGCUCAACCCCCGGGGUCGGGCCCGUGCGAACUGUCGAGCUGGAGCACUGUAGAGGCAGGUGGAAUUCCGGGUGUAGCGGUGGAAUGCGUAGAGAUCCGGAAGAACACCGGUGGCGAAGGCGGCCUGCUGGGCCAGUGGCUGACGCUGAGGCGCGACAGCGUGGGGAGCAAACAGG